GGAGGAAAAGAAACUAACAAGGAUUCCCUUAGUAACUGCGAGUGAAGUGGGAAGAGCUCAAAUUUGAAAUCUGGCAGUCUCUGGCUGUCCGAGUUGUAAUCUAGAGAAGUGUUGCCCGCGCUGGACCAUGUACAAGUCUCCUGGGAUGGAGCGUCAUAGAGGGUGAGAAUCCCGUCUUUGACAUGGACUACCAGGGCUUUUGUGGUGCGCUCUCAAAGAGUCGAGUUGUUUGGGAAUGCAGCUCAAAAUGGGUGGUAAAUUCCAUCUAAAGCUAAAUAUUGGCGAGAGACCGAUAGUGAACAAGUACCGUGAGGGAAAGAUGAAAAGAACUUUGGAAAGAGAGUUAAACAGUACGUGAAAUUGCUGAAAGGGAAACGCUUGAAGUCAGUCGCGUUGGCCAGGGAUCAGCCUUGCUUCUUAGUGUGGUGUACUUCCUGGUUGACGGGUCAGCAUCGGUUUUGACUGCUGGAGAAAGGCUUGGGGAAUGUGGCAGCUCUGGCUGUGUUAUAGCCUCCUGUCAGAUACAGUGGUUGGGACUGAGGAACGCAGCAUGCCGCAAGGCCGGGGCUAAUAUCAGCCUACGUUCAUGCUUAGGAUGUUGACAUAUUGGCUUUA
rnacentral:rRNA from 1 species